rnacentral:lncRNA from 1 species
CUUUAUUCGAAGUCCACCAGAGAGUUUAAAUGUUACUAUCAUCCAAAAACACCCUCACAGAAAGAUCCAGGAUAAUGUUUGACCACAGAUGUGCGCACAGGGGCCCAACCAAGUUGACAUAUGAAGUUAACCUUCACAGUGGCCCUUAAAAUCCAGAGGCCAAUGGUGCUGUUAAACAUUGACCUGCUGAUGACGUGAUCUGGGCUGUGUGACCUAUGGAGGGCCUUACUGGGUGGUCCCCUCUCUUGGUGGCCUGCCACAUUCCUGGGGCUGCCAUCUAUGCCUCAGACUAGAAGGACCCAGCUCUCUCUAGCAUCCCAAAUCAAGCCUUGGCUGAGUCACUCCGCCCUGCUUCUUCAUCCUACAGUAGGGGAGGCAGGUUGCCCGCAGGCUCUGCUCUCUCUCUGAGGUUGGCCACUUCAAAGGCUUGGAUUAAAAAUAGCCCUCUCUCCAGAGUCAGCCUGGAUGGAUUCUCCGGGGGCUCUCCUGUGAAAGCACCUCCAUCAGGGGACUAUGAGCCUGUCCGGUCCUGCCUUCCACUUGCUGAGACAGUGUGGCCGGGGUUUUCACGAUGACGAAGGGCCUGUGAAUCCGGGUUGGAGCUCCCUGACCCUCGCCUGCCCGCCUCCCAUCUGGGUCUGCACUUGGCCCUGUUGCUUCCUUUCGCCCGGAAGCAAUAUGCCCCCUCUAGCCAGCGUUUAUGCACUUUGUGGACAUUUUCUGGACAGCCACUCAGCUCUUCCCUGUGUGGGGUGCUGGGAACAGAGGGACAAGUCAGCCACAGGCACGUUUUUGGGGGGGCUCCCAGGCUUGUGGGGUCACGGGAGCAGACAGUGUCAGCUCUGUUCCUCCCCCGCCCCAGACCGUGUUUUACCAGCGCUGCUGUCAGUGUCGGGCUUUCAAUAUCUUGCCCCUGCCACCCUCCUUGUGCUGGGGCACCUGGAGCGGCUUUGCAGGUACGUGCCUUGGAGUUCAC